CCUGGUUGAUCCUGCCAGUAGUCAUAUGCUUGUCUCAAAGAUUAAGCCAUGCAUGUCUAAGUACACGCCCUCGCAAGGCGAAACCGCGAAUGGCUCAUUAAAUCAGUUAUGGUUCCUUAGAUCGUACAUAUCCUACUUGGAUAACUGUGGUAAUUCUAGAGCUAAUACAUGCGACUGAGCCCUCGGAGCCGUCAAAAGCCGAGAGGGUGCUUUUAUUAGACCAAGACCAGACGUGCCUUCGGGUACGAUCGUCGUGGUGACUCUGGAUAACUAUGGCGGAUCGCACGGCCGCAGCGCCGGCGACGCAUCUUUCAAGUGUCUGCCUUAUCAACUGUCGAUGGUAGGUUAUGCGCCUACCAUGGUCGUUACGGGUAACGGGGAAUCAGGGUUCGAUUCCGGAGAGGGAGCCUGAGAAACGACUACCACAUCCAAGGAAGGCAGCAGGCGCGCAAAUUACCCACUCCCGGCACGGGGAGGUAGUGACGAAAAAUAACGAUACGGGACUCUAACGAGGCUCCGUAAUCGGAAUGAGUACACUCUAAACCUUUUAACGAGGAUCGAUUGGAGGGUAAGUCUGGUGCCAGCAGCCGCGGUAAGACCAGCUCCAAUAGCGUAUAUUAAAGUUGCUGCGGUUAAAAAGCUCGUAGUUGGAUCUCAGCCGCGCUCCGCGGGACGCGUCGCGAGGCGCCGUACCCGCAGGCCGGCAUUGGGCCGGCGGUCUCCGUUGGCCUUCAAAAGCUGACGGGGCUCGGCGGCGUCUUUACUUUGAAAAAAUUAGGGUGCUCAGAACAGGCUUGAGCCUGCAUAUUCGCGCAUGGAAUAAUGGAAUAGGACCUCGGUUCUAUUCUGCUGGUUUUCGGAUCCCGAGGUAAUGAUCCUGCCGCUGGUUCACCAAC
rnacentral:rRNA from 1 species